UUUAAGAUGAACAAACAGAUGCUCGCAAACCUUGGUCUGAAGAUAAAUGUUAAGGUUGGUGUUCUUGUUGUGUUUUGUGCAUUUUCUUCAGUUGCCGAGUCUAAGACAACCUUCUUUUCUCAAACGUUUGGGGAAGGAACACUGUGCUGCCUGAUGCAGUGUCAAGGUGCAUCCCUUUGGUCAGCGAGAGGCCAACGAUCAUAUUCGGCACUGCUGUCACACACCCCUAUUUAGUGAAGACAGCAGCCCUUCCAUCGCUGGAGGCAAGGAGGAGGACUAAAUGGCUGGCAAGCUGGGACCAGUAGCUGUACGACUUAGAAGCUGGAGAUCCUAGGGGCAACAGAAACAUGCCGUAGUCUCGCCAUCUAGCUAUCUGCUUCUCCCUUUUUGGGAGUAAUGAUCAAUUGUGGAAUGGACAAAGCUACUGGAGAAGCACCACCUGCUCAAUCCAGUUAAUCUGGAGGUUUAUUUUACCUGGACAACUCAUCGCAACAAUCGGAAACAACUAACAACCAGCGCCGCCCCCUCGGAGCAGCGACACGACACCCCAACAGCCUGGCUCAUCCUAUCAUUGUCGGGGGGAUACAGUGAAUGGGUUGCUAGCGCAAUACUGAAGCUUGAGAAUAUUUGUUCAGAUAUGAAGAACAUCAAAGAAGUGACUUGGGGUUUGUAACUCCUACAAGACCUGGUGAUGUGCUGUCUGUGGUGGACAUUUGGCUUCGACUACUUGCUGCAUUGAGUUCACCACGCCUCAACCACAGUCACAGUGGCCUCUUCAUCAUCUUGAUGGUUUAGUGAGGAUGACAACCAGGGUAAGUUUGGUGGAACCUAUAGCUGCUGCCCGCAGCGUGAUGCAUCACUUGGAAGCUUGAUGAUUGCGGUGUGUGAGCAGCCAAGGUUUCACAUUCGAUAACCGCGUGGUUGUGGCAUUUAUGUGUUGUAUGUAACCAUCCCAUGAUCGCGGAAACUUUUGAGCUGUGCAUCAGCUUUCGUUGGUGUUGGUAGUUUACUGUCUGUGAUUUCUGUUUAAUUCGACCUCUGGUAUGGUUAAAUCCCACCUGAGGUGUGCUGUUGCACUUGUGUAGUUUGUGAAGUA